rnacentral:rRNA from 1 species
UACGUAGGUGGCAAGCGUUGUCCGGAAUUACUGGGUGUAAAGGGUGCGCAGGCGGGAAUUCAAGUUGGAUGUGAAAUACCGGGGCUUAACUCCGGGGCUGCAUCCAAAACUGAGUUUCUUGAGUGAAGUAGAGGCAAGCGGAAUUCCGAGUGUAGCGGUGAAAUGCGUAGAUAUUCGGAGGAACACCAGUGGCGAAGGCGGCUUGCUGGGCUUUAACUGACGCUGAGGCACGAAAGCAUGGGGAGCAA